rnacentral:misc_RNA from 1 species
UCUCCGUUGGUGAACCAGCGGAGGCAUCAUUACCGAGUUUACAACUCCCAAACCCCUGUGAACAUACCAUUUGUUGCCUCGGCGGUGCCUGCUUCGGCAGCCCGCCAGAGGACCCAAACCCUUGAUUUUAUACAGUAUCUUCUGAGUAAAUGAUUAAAUAAAUCAAAACUUUCAACAACGGAUCUCUUGGUUCUG